AUUGAACGCUGGCGGCAGGCCUAACACAUGCAAGUCGAGCGGUAGAGAGAAGCUUGCUUCUCUUGAGAGCGGCGGACGGGUGAGUAAAGCCUAGGAAUCUGCCUGGUAGUGGGGGAUAACGUUCGGAAACGGACGCUAAUACCGCAUACGUCCUACGGGAGAAAGCAGGGGACCUUCGGGACUUGCGCUAUCAGAUGAGCCUAGGUCGGAUUAGCUAGUUGGUGAGGUAAGGGCUCACCAAGGCGACGAUCCGUAACUGGUCUGAGAGGAUGAUCAGUCACACUGGAACUGAGACACGGUCCAGACUCCUACGGGAGGCAGCAGUGGGGAAUAUUGGACAAUGGGCGAAAGCCUGAUCCAGCCAUGCCGCGUGUGUGAAGAAGGUCUUCGGAUUGUAAAGCACUUUAAGUUGGGAGGAAGGGCAUUAACCUAAUACGUUAGUGUUUUGACGUUACCGACAGAAUAAGCACCGGCUAACUCUGUGCCAGCCGCCGCGGUAA
rnacentral:rRNA from 1 species